GAGUUUGAUCGUGGCUCAGAACGAACGCUGGCGGCAGGCUUAACACAUGCAAGUCGAACGAGCUGGGACCUUCGGGUCCCGAUGCUAGUGGCGCACGGGUGAGUAACACGUGGGAACGUACCCUUUAGUACGGAAUAACCCAGGGAAACUUGGGCUAAUACCGUAUGACUCCUUCGGGAGAAAGAUUUAUCGCUAAAGGAUCGGCCCGCGUCUGAUUAGGUAGUUGGUGAGGUAACGGCUCACCAAGCCUACGAUCAGUAGCUGGUCUGAGAGGAUGAUCAGCCACACUGGGACUGAGACACGGCCCACGACUCCUACGGGAGGCAGCAGUGGGGGAAUAUUGGACAAUGGGGGCGAACCCUGAUCCAGCCAUGCCGCGUGAGUGAAGAAGGCC
rnacentral:rRNA from 1 species